GUUCCCCUCUCAGUCCCUAUCCUACCCCACAAACCCUCUCUUUUACACUACACACAAACACAAUGCAUUCCCCCCCCCACACACACACAGAAACAUACAAUGCAUUCCUACUCACACACAGACACACCCGAAACAGACCUUGAGCUGUGUAAGGGGCCCUAAAAAAUGGAGCUGCUUCCUGUUCGUUAAUUGUUGUGAGCACUGUUAAAAACAGUCUCCAGAGAGCCUCUUCUACACCAGACCUGUGGAGCCAGACUGAGCCCAUCAUCAGCCUCUUGUCCUCAUCUGGUGGUAAGUAGGCAAUCCAAUAUAUUAUUAGUGGCACUAAUCUCACAUUAAAUGGAU